UAGUUUUGGAAAUAAAACA
rnacentral:miRNA from 1 species